UACGAAGGGGGCUAGCGUUGUUCGGAAUUACUGGGCGUAAAGGGCGCGUAGGCGGUCUGGUCAGUCCCUUGUGAAAUCCCCCGGCUCAACUGGGGAACUGCACGGGAAACAGCCGGGCUUGAGUUCGGGAGAGGGAAGCGGAAUUCCGGGUGUAGCGGUGAAAUGCGUAGAUAUCCGGAGGAACACCGGUGGCGAAGGCGGCUUCCUGGACCGAUACUGACGCUGAGGCGCGAAAGCUAGGGGAGCAAACGGG
rnacentral:rRNA from 1 species